rnacentral:rRNA from 1 species
AUUGAACGCUGGCGGCAGGCUUAACACAUGCAAGUCGAGCGGAGAUGAGGUGCUUGCACCUUAUCUUAGUGGCGGACGGGUGAGUAAUGCUUAGGAAUCUGCCUAUUAGUGGGGGACAACAUUCCGAAAGGAAUGCUAAUACCGCAUACGUCCUACGGGAGAAAGCAGGGGACCUUCGGGCCUUGCGCUAAUAGAUGAGCCUAAGUCGGAUUAGCUAGUUGGUGGGGUAAAGGCCUACCAAGGCGACGAUCUGUAGCGGGUCUGAGAGGAUGAUCCGCCACACUGGGACUGAGACACGGCCCAGACUCCUACGGGAGGCAGCAGUGGGGAAUAUUGGACAAUGGGCGGAAGCCUGAUCCAGCCAUGCCGCGUGUGUGAAGAAGGCCUUUUGGUUGUAAAGCACUUUAAGCGAGGAGGAGGCUACUAGUACUAAUACUACUGGAUAGUGGACGUUACUCGCAGAAUAAGCACCGGCUAACUCUGUGCCAGCCGCCGCGGUAAAAC